rnacentral:rRNA from 1 species
ACACAUGCAAGUCGAACGAUGAUGCCCAGCUUGCUGGGCGGAUUAGUGGCGAACGGGUGAGUAAUACGUGAGUAACCUGCCCUUGACUCUGGGAUAAGCCUGGGAAACUGGGUCUAAUACUGGAUACUACCUCUUACCGCAUGGUGGGUGGUGGAAAGGGUUUUACUGGUUUUGGAUGGGCUCACGGCCUAUCAGCUUGUUGGUGGGGUAAUGGCUCACCAAGGCGACGACGGGUAGCCGGCCUGAGAGGGUGACCGGCAACACUGGGACUGAGACACGGCCCAGACUCCUACGGGAGGCAGCAGUGGGGAAUAUUGCACAAUGGGCGGAAGCCUGAUGCAGCGACGCCGCGUGAGGGAUGACGGCCUUCGGGUUGUAAACCUCUUUCAGUAGGGAAGAAGCGAGAGUGACGGUACCUGCAGAAGAAGCGCCGGCUAACUACGUGCCAGCAGCCGCGGUAAUACGUAGGGCGCAAGCGUUGUCCGGAAUUAUUGGGCGUAAAGAGCUCGUAGGCGGUUUGUCGCGUCUGCUGUGAAAGCCCGGGGCUCAACCCCGGGUCUGCAGUGGGUACGGGCAGACUAGAGUGCAGUAGGGGAGACUGGAAUUCCUGGUGUAGCGGUGAAAUGCGCAGAUAUCAGGAGGAACACCGAUGGCGAAGGCAGGUCUCUGGGCUGUUACUGACGCUGAGGAGCGAAAGCAUGGGGAGCGAACAGGAUUAGAUACCCUGGUAGUCCAUGCCGUAAACGUUGGGCACUAGGUGUGGGGGACAUUCCACGUUUUCCGCGCCGUAGCUAACGCAUUAAGUGCCCCGCCUGGGGAGUACGGCCGCAAGGCUAAAACUCAAAGGAAUUGACGGGGGCCCGCACAAGCGGCGGAGCAUGCGGAUUAAUUCGAUGCAACGCGAAGAACCUUACCAAGGCUUGACAUUCACCGGACUACCCCAGAGAUGGGGUUUCCCUUCGGGGCUGGUGGACAGGUGGUGCAUGGUUGUCGUCAGCUCGUGUCGUGAGAUGUUGGGUUAAGUCCCGCAACGAGCGCAACCCUCGUUCUAUGUUGCCAGCACGUGAUGGUGGGGACUCAUAGGAGACUGCCGGGGUCAACUCGGAGGAAGGUGGGGAUGACGUCAAAUCAUCAUGCCCCUUAUGUCUUGGGCUUCACGCAUGCUACAAUGGCCGGUACAAAGGGUUGCGAUACUGUGAGGUGGAGCUAAUCCCAAAAAGCCGGUCUCAGUUCGGAUUGAGGUCUGCAACUCGACCUCAUGAAGUCGGAGUCGCUAGUAAUCGCAGAUCAGCAACGCUGCGGUGAAUACGUUCCCGGGCCUUGUACACACCGCCCGUCAAGUCACGAAAGUUGGUAACACCCGAAGCCGGUGGCCUAACCCCUUGUGGGAGGGAGCCGUCGAAGGUGGAACC